UAAUUUAAAGUCUAGCCUGCCCAAUGAUUAUUUUUUGAAUGGCUGCGGUAUUUUGACCGUACUAAGGUAGCAUAAUAAUUAGUUUUUUAAUUGAAAGCUGGUAUGAAUGGCUGGACGAGAAAAUGGCUGUCUCAAUUUAAUUUAAUUAGAAUUUUAUUUUUAAGUAAAAAAGCUUAAAUAUGUUUAAAAGACGAGAAGACCCUAUAGAGUUUUAUAUUUUAUUUUUAUUAUAAAUUAUAAGAAUUUUUAAUUUAAUUGAAAUUAAAGUAUUUUGUUGGGGUGACAAAAAAAUUUAAUUAACUUUUUUUAAAUUAUUUCAUUAAUUUAUGAGUAAGUGAUCCAU
rnacentral:rRNA from 2 species